UCCGGUAUGGUGUAUCGGUUAACAUAUGUGCUUUUCAGCUGUACCUGUCUGUCGCACGUGCGCGGGGUUCGACUCCCCGUACCGGAA